AGAUGCAAAAUCAAAUCAUGAUGCUUUUGUUGGGAGAAUUUUUGUAUUCAGUAUUUUGUAUGUACCUUUUUUUUUUUAAAUUGGAAAGCACAAUUCGGUUUAACAUUUAGCUUUGCUUGACUCCAGUGUAAGAUGAAGAUGACCUUGUCACAGCUCCCCUGACCUGAAGCAGAGCCCUUCCCAUCACUGACAGUGUUGGGGGUUGAGAGCCCCCCAGCAGAGCCCUUCCCAUCACUGACAGUGUCAGGGGUUGAGAGCCCCUCAGCAGAGCCCUUCCCAUCACUGACAGUGUCGGGGGUUGAGAGUCCCCCAGCAGAGCCCUUCCCAUCACUGACAGUGUUGGGGGUUGAGAGUCCCCCAACAGAGCCCUUCCCAUCACUGACAGUGUCGGGGGUUGAGAGCCCCCCAGCAGAGCCCUUCCCAUCACUGACAGUGUCGGGGGUUGAGAGCCCCCCCAGCAAGCCCUUCCUAUCACUGACAGUGUCGGGGGCUGAGAGCCCCCCAGCAGAGCCCUUCCCAUCACUGACAGUGUCAGGGGCUGAGACCCCCCCAGCAGAGCCCUUCCCAUCACUGACAGUGUCGGGUUGAGAGCCACCUACAGAGAUUUUCUGUCAGCAGUUUCCCAGUAUUUCAGACUCAUAAUCUGUGUUUAGCACUCCAGUGUUCUCUUGUAAUAGCCAGGUCUGGAAACGACCCAUGGAAAGAGGGGCCUUUGUAUUCUGCUAGAACACAGAGCAUAGUAGUAGAUCACUUUUCUGAAGAGCUUUUUAAAAUACAGCUAAUCAAGGAGUUUGCGAUUUCUCUUACUUUCUACAGCUCAGCAGUGACUAAUGAUGUGUGACUAUGCUAAUGAGUUUGAUGAAUUCGUAAAAACUAAGCGCUUAAAUGGUUAUAGAAAUGAAAACAUGGAUAUUUAGAAGCCUUUCUAUAUACACAGUGCAGUUGAGAUGGUUUCCAGCAAAUUUCGUUUUAUUUCUGAAAAUGUUGUAAACAUGUAAUUAGUGAAAGAUUUUGUAAAACAUUGUCCUGUAUUUUUGUCUGUAAAUAUAUUGCAUAAGUUCUAAGUAUAAAUAUGUCAGUAUCAUGUAUGUUAUUUUAAAUUGCCUGUACGCCACUUUACACAUUGACAUUCAAAUAAAAGCCAACACUUCAGUGGCGUGUAAUAAAAGCUGAUUGGAGCGUGUUCAUACCUGAGGUGUGGUUCCCUUGGCAAAGGUGAAUCAAGGAAAGAGCAUCUCAUUUCCAGAGGGAAUGU
rnacentral:lncRNA from 1 species